AGGGCGCACGGUGGAUGCCUUGGCACCAGGAACCGAUGAAGGACGUGGGAGGCCGCGAUAGGCCCCGGGGAGCUGUCAACCGAGCUGUGAUCCGGGGGUGUCCGAAUGGGGAAACCCGGCAGUCGUCAUGGGCUGUCACCUACUGCUGAACACAUAGGCAGUAUGGAGGGAACGCGGGGAAGUGAAACAUCUCAGUACCCGCAGGAAGAGAAAACAACCGUGAUUCCGGGAGUAGUGGCGAGCGAAACCGGAUGAGGCCAAACCGUAUGCGUGUGAUACCCGGCAGGGGUUGCGUAUGCGGGGUUGUGGGAUCGCACUUUCAUGGUCUGCCGGCCAUGAGGCGAGUCAGAAACCGUUGAUGUAGGCGAAGGGCAUGCGAAAGGCCCGGCGUAGAGGGUAAGACCCCCGUAGCUGAAACAUUAGCGGCUUGCUUGUGCGACACCCAAGUAGCACGGGGCCCGAGAAAUCCCGUGUGAAUCUGGCGGGACCACCCGUUAAGCCUAAAUAUUCCCUGGUGACCGAUAGCGGAUAGUACCGUGAGGGAAUGGUGAAAAGUACCGCGGGAGCGGAGUGAAAUAGUACCUGAAACCGUGUGCCUACAAGCCGUGGGAGCGUCGGAUGUACUUUGUGCAUCUCGUGACUGCGUGCCUUUUGAAGAAUGAGCCUGCGAGUUUGCGGUGUGUUGCGAGGUUAACCCGUGUGGGGAAGCCGUAGCGAAAGCGAGUCCGAAUAGGGCGACCAGAGUAGCGCGCCCAAGACCCGAAGCGGAGUGAUCUAGCCAUGGGCAGGUUGAAGCGGCUGUAAGAGGUCGUGGAGGACCGAACCCACCAGGGUUGAAAACCUGGGGGAUGACCUGUGGUUAGGGGUGAAAGGCCAAUCAAACUCCGUGAUAGCUGGUUCUCCCCGAAAUGCAUUUAGGUGCAGCGUCGUGUGUUUCUUGCCGGAGGUAGAGCACUGGAUAGGCGAUGGGCCCUACCGGGUUACUGACCUUAGCCAAACUCCGAAUGCCGGUAAGUGAGAGCGCGGCAGUGAGACUGUGGGGGAUAAGCUCCAUGGUCGAGAGGGAAACAGCCCAGAGCAUCGACUAAGGCCCCUAAGCGUACGCUAAGUGGGAAAGGAUGUGGAGUCGCAGAGACAACCAGGAGGUUGGCUUAGAAGCAGCCACCCUUGAAAGAGUGCGUAAUAGCUCACUGGUCAAGUGAUUCCGCGCCGACAAUGUAGCGGGGCUCAAGCGUACCGCCGAAGUCGUGUCAUUGCAGCAUGUACAUCUAACGGUGGCUGUGAUGGGUAGGGGAGCGUCGUGUGCCGGGUGAAGCAGCGCCGGAAGGUAGUUGUGGACGGUUCACGAGUGAGAAUGCAGGCAUGAGUAGCGAUACAAGAGUGGGAAACUCUUGCGCCGAUUGACUAAGGGUUCCUGGGUCAAGCUGAUCUGCCCAGGGUAAGUCGGGACCUAAGGCGAGGCCGACAGGCGUAGUCGAUGGACAACCGGUUGAUAUUCCGGUACCCGCUUUGAAGCGCCAGCGCUGAACCAGGCGAUGCUAAGUCCGUGAAGCCGCCCUGAUCUCUUCGGAGUUGAGGGGAGUGGUGGAGCCGACGGACCAGACCUGUAGUAGGUGAGCGAUGGGGUGACGCAGGAAGGUAGUCCAGCCCGGGCGGUGGUUGUCCCGGGGUAAGGGUGUAGGACGUCACGUAGGCAAAUCCGCGUGACACAUAGUCUGAGACCUGAUGCCGAGCCGAUUGUGGUGAAGUGGAUGAUCCUAUGCUGUCGAGAAAAGCCUCUAGCGAGUUUCAUGGCGGCCCGUACCCUAAACCGACUCAGGUGGUCAGGUAGAGAAUACCGAGGCGUUCGGGUGAACUAUGGUUAAGGAACUCGGCAAAAUGCCCCCGUAACUUCGGGAGAAGGGGGGCCAUGUCCGGUGAUGAGACACGCUCUCUGAGCUGGGUGUGGCCGCAGAGACCAGCGAGAAGCGACUGUUUACUAAAAACACAGGUCCGUGCGAAGCCGUAAGGCGAUGUAUACGGACUGACGCCUGCCCGGUGCUGGAACGUUAAGGGGACCGGUUAGCUCCAUUUCGGUGGGGCGAAGCUGAGAACUUAAGCGCCAGUAAACGGCGGUGGUAACUAUAACCAUCCUAAGGUAGCGAAAUUCCUUGUCGGGUAAGUUCCGACCUGCACGAAUGGCGUAACGACUUCUCGACUGUCUCAACCAUAGGCCCGGUGAAAUUGCACUACGAGUAAAGAUGCUCGUUUCGCGCAGCAGGACGGAAAGACCCCGGGACCUUUACUAUAGCUUGAUAUUGGUGUUCGGUUCGGCUUGUGUAGGAUAGGUGGGAGACUGUGAAGCAUGCACGCCAGUGUGUGUGGAGUCGUCGUUGAAAUACCACUCUGGUCGUGCUGGAUGUCUAACCUGGGUCCGUGAUCCGGAUCAGGGACAGUGUCUGGUGGGUAGUUUAACUGGGGCGGUUGCCUCCUAAAGGGUAACGGAGGCGCCCAAAGGUUCCCUCAGCCUGGUUGGUAAUCAGGUGUUGAGUGUAAGUGCACAAGGGAGCUUGACUGUGAGACCGACGGGUCGAGCAGGGACGAAAGUCGGGACUAGUGAUCCGGCGGUGGCUUGUGGAAGCGCCGUCGCUCAACGGAUAAAAGGUACCCCGGGGAUAACAGGCUGAUCUUCCCCAAGAGUCCAUAUCGACGGGAUGGUUUGGCACCUCGAUGUCGGCUCGUCGCAUCCUGGGGCUGGAGUCGGUCCCAAGGGUUGGGCUGUUCGCCCAUUAAAGCGGUACGCGAGCUGGGUUUAGAACGUCGUGAGACAGUUCGGUCCCUAUCCGCUGUGCGCGUAGGAGUCUUGAGAAGGGCUGUCCCUAGUACGAGAGGACCGGGACGGACGAACCUCUGGUGUGCCAGUUGUCCUGCCAAGGGCAUGGCUGGUUGGCUACGUUCGGGAGGGAUAACCGCUGAAAGCAUCUAAGCGGGAAGCCUGCUUCGAGAUGAGGGCUCCCACCCACUUGA
rnacentral:rRNA from 1 species